rnacentral:rRNA from 1 species
UACGGAGGGGGCUAGCGUUGUUCGGAAUUACUGGGCGUAAAGCGCGCGUAGGCGGACCUGCAAGUCGGGGGUGAAAGCCCGAGGCUCAACCUCGGAACUGCCUUCGAUACUGCGGGUCUCGAGUCCGGGAGAGGUGAGUGGAAUUCCUAGUGUAGAGGUGAAAUUCGUAGAUAUUAGGAAGAACACCGAUGGCGAAGGCAGCUCUCUGGUCCGACCUUGACGCUGAGGCGCGACAGCGUGGGGAGCAAACAGG